rnacentral:rRNA from 1 species
CUACGGGUUGCUGCAGUGGGGAAUAUUGGACAGUGGGGGAAACCCUGAUCCAGCAAUGCCGCGUGUGUGAAGAAGGCCUGCGGGUUGUAAAGCACUUUCGGUUGGGAGGACUGCUUCUAGCACUAAUAUUGUUGGAAGUUGACGUUACCUUCAGAAGAAGCACCGGCUAACUCCGUGCCAGCAGCCGCGGUAAUACGGAGGGUGCAAGCGUUAAUCGGAAUUACUGGGCGUAAAGCGCGCGUAGGCGGCUAGAUCAGUCGGGUGUGAAAGCCCCGGGCUUAACCUGGGAACUGCAUCCGAUACUGUCUAGCUUGAGUACAGGAGAGGAGAGUGGAAUUCCACAUGUAGCGGUGAAAUGCGUAGAUAUGUGGAGGAACACCAAUGGCGAAGGCAGCUCUCUGGCCUGAUACUGACGCUGAGGUGCGAAAGCGUGGGGAUCAAACAGGAUUAGAUACCCUGGUAGUC